rnacentral:rRNA from 1 species
GACGAACGCUGGCGGCGUGCUUAACACAUGCAAGUCGAACGAAGAGCGAUGGAAGCUUGCUCCUAUCAAUCUUAGUGGCGCACGUGUGAGUAACGCGUAAUCAACCUGCCCUUCAGAGGGGGACAACAGUUGGAAACGACUGCUAAUACCGCAUACGAUCUAAUCUCGGCAUCGAGGAUAGAUGAAAGGUGGUCCUUACAUGUAAGCUAUCACUGAAGGAGGGGAUUGGGUCUGAUUAGCUAGUUGGAGGAGUAACCGCCCAACAAAGCGAGGCUUAGUAGGCGGUCUGGAGAGGUGGACGGCCACAAUGGGACUGAGACAAGGCCCAAGAUCCUACGGGGGGCAGCAAUGGGGGAUCUUCCGGAAAUGACGGAAAGCUGGCGGGGCAACCCCGGGUGGAUGAAGGAAGGCUUCGGGUUGUAAAACUCUGUUAAUCGGGGAGAAAGGACUUCUUACGAAUAGAGGGAAGGAUUGACGGUACCGAAACAGAAAGCCACGGCUAACUACGUG